rnacentral:rRNA from 1 species
UACGGAGGGGGCUAGCGUUGUUCGGAAUUACUGGGCGUAAAGCGCACGUAGGCGGCUUUGUAAGUUAGAGGUGAAAGCCCAGGGCUUAACCCUGGAAUUGCCUUUAAGACUGCAUCGCUAGAAUCGUGGAGAGGUGAGUGGAAUUCCGAGUGUAGAGGUGAAAUUCGUAGAUAUUCGGAAGAACACCAGUGGCGAAGGCGACUACCUGGCCUGUUCUUGACGCUGAGGCGCGAAAGCUAGGGGAGCAAACGGG